rnacentral:rRNA from 1 species
AUUGAACGCUGGCGGCAUGCCUUACACAUGCAAGUCGAACGGCAGCACGGGUGCUUGCACCUGGUGGCGAGUGGCGAACGGGUGAGUAAUUCAUCGGAACAUGUCCUGUAGUGGGGGAUAGCCCGGCGAAAGCCGGAUUAAUACCGCAUACGAUCUACGGAUGAAAGCGGGGGACCUUCGGGCCUCGCGCUAUAGGGUUGGCCGAUAGCUGAUUAGCUAGUUGGUGGGGUAAAGGCCUACCAAGGCGACGAUCAGUAGCUGGUCUGAGAGGACGACCAGCCACACUGGGACUGAGACACGGCCCAGACUCCUACGGGAGGCAGCAGUGGGGAAUUUUGGACAAUGGGCGAAAGCCUGAUCCAGCAAUGCCGCGUGUGUGAAGAAGGCCUUCGGGUUGUAAAGCACUUUUGUCCGGAAAGAAAUCCUUGGCUCUAAUACAGUCGGGGGAUGACGGUACCGGAAGAAUAAGCACCGGCUAACUACGUG